rnacentral:rRNA from 1 species
AUACGUAGGGGGCGAGCGUUGUCCGGAAUGAUUGGGCGUAAAGGGCGCGUAGGCGGCCCGGUAAGUCUGGAGUGAAAGUCCUGUUUUUAAGAUGGGAAUUGCUUUGGAUACUGUCGGGCUUGAGUGCAGGAGAGGUAAGUGGAAUUCCCAGUGUAGCGGUGAAAUGCGUAGAGAUUGGGAGGAACACCAGUGGCGAAGGCGGGUAACUGGACUGCAACUGACGCUGAGGCGCGAAAGUGUGGGGAGCAAACAGGAUUAGAUACCCUGGUAGUCCACACUGUAAACGAUGAAUACUAGGUGUGCGGGGACUGACCCCCUGCGUGCCGGCGUUAACACAAUAAGUAUUCCACCUGGGGAGUACGAUCGCAAGGUUGAAACUCAAAUGAAUUGGCGGGG